CGCUGGCGGCGUGCCUAACACAUGCAAGUCGAACGGAGUUAUUUCUUCGGAGAUAACUUAGUGGCAACGGGUGAGUAACGCGUGAGAAACCUGCCUUUCAGUGGGGGACAACAGUUGGAAACGACUGCUAAUACCGCAUAAUGUCAUUUGGGGGCAUCCCUGGAUGACCAAAGAUUUAUUGCUGAAAGAUGGUCUCGCGUCUGAUUAGCUAGAUGGCGGGGUAACGGCCCACCAUGGCGACGAUCAGUAGCCGGUCUGAGAGGAUGAACGGCCACAUUGGGACUGAGAUACGGCCCAGACUCCUACGGGAGGCAGCAGUGGGGAAUAUUGGGCAAUGGGCGAAAGCCUGACCCAGCAACGCCGCGUGAAGGAAGAAGGCCUUCGGGUUGUAAACUUCUUUUACCAGGGACGAAAUUUGACGGUACCUGGAGAAAAAGCAACGGCUAACUACGUG
rnacentral:rRNA from 1 species